UACGGAGGGGGCUAGCGUUGUUCGGAAUUACUGGGCGUAAAGCGCGCGUAGGCGGCUUUGCAAGUCAGGGGUGAAAGCCCACGGCUCAACCGUGGAACUGCCCUUGAAACUGCCGAGCUAGAACACGGGAGAGGUGAGUGGAAUUCCGAGUGUAGAGGUGAAAUUCGUAGAUAUUCGGAAGAACACCAGUGGCGAAGGCGGCUCACUGGACCGUUGUUGACGCUGAGGUGCGAAAGCGUGGGGAGCAAACAGG
rnacentral:rRNA from 1 species